rnacentral:rRNA from 1 species
AGAGUUUGAUCAUGGCUCAGGAUAAACGCUAGCGGGAGGCCUAACACAUGCAAGUCGAACGAAAUGACCUUCGGGUCAAAGAGUGGCGAAUGGGUGAGUAACGCGUAUGCAACCUACCUUUUACAGGGGGAUAGCCCGGAGAAAUUCGGAUUAAACCCGCAUAGUUCUAUGAAGUCACAUGGUUUUAUAGAUAAAGCUACGGCGGUAAAAGAUGGGCAUGCGUGUCAUUAGCUAGUUGGUAAGGUAACGGCUUACCAAGGCGACGAUGACUAGGGGGCCUGAGAGGGUAAUCCCCCACACUGGUACUGAGACACGGACCAGACUCCUACGGGAGGCAGCAGUGAGGAAUAUUGGUCAAUGGACGGAAGUCUGAACCAGCCAUCCCGCGUGCAGGAAGACGGCCCUACGGGUUGUAAACUGCUUUUCUGUUGGAAGAACGGUACUAACGUGUUAGUGCGUGACGGUACAACAGGAAUAAGCAUCGGCUAACUCCGUGCCAGCAGCCGCGGUAAUACGGAGGAUGCAAGCGUUAUCCGGAUUUAUUGGGUUUAAAGGGUGCGUAGGCGGUUUUAUAAGUCAGUGGUGAAAUACUGGAGCUUAACUUUAGCAUUGCCAUUGAAACUGUAAGACUUGAGUUUGGUUGAGGUAUGCGGAAUGUGUAGUGUAGCGGUGAAAUGCAUAGAUAUUACACAGAACACCGAUUGCGAAGGCAGCAUACUAAGCCAAUACAGACGCUGAGGCACGAAAGCGUGGGGAUCGAACAGGAUUAGAUACCCUGGUAGUCCACGCCGUAA